CGGUCUAUCCAGUCUAAUUAGCAUAUUACCCUUUUAUUUAGUGUCACUCAAAUUAACUAUACUGUGAGAACUCCUCAAAAACUUUUUUUUUUUCUUCUUCUUUUGACCAGCACACUGCCUGGUACAUACUGCCGGGCAGGCAUUCAAAAUAUUUUAAAAAUAGGCAAUUGCUAAUACUGGGAGAAUGUCACUUUAAUGUUUCAGAAAACUUAUCAUUCUUGGAAAGGGCUUGCUCUUUUACGACUUUGG